GACGUAGGGCGCGAGCGUUGUCCGGAUUUAUUGGGCGUAAAGAGCUCGUAGGCGGCUUGUUGCGUCGACCGUGAAAACCCGGGGCUCAACUUCGGGCUUGCGGUCGAUACGGGCGGGCUAGAGUUCGGUAGGGGAGACUGGAAUUCCUGGUGUAGCGGUGAAAUGCGCAGAUAUCAGGAGGAACACCGGUGGCGAAGGCGGGUCUCUGGGCCGAUAUUGACGCUGAGGAGCGAAAGCGUGGGGAGCAAACAGG
rnacentral:rRNA from 1 species